rnacentral:tRNA from 1 species
UGAGUCAUAGCUCAGUGGUAGAGUGCUUGCCUAAUAUGUGAGGCACUGGGUUCUAUUCUCAGUACCUCAU